rnacentral:rRNA from 1 species
AGAUUGAACGCUGGCGGCAGGCCUAACACAUGCAAGUCGAGCGGCAGCACGGGUACGUGUACCUGGUGGCGAGCGGCGGACGGGUGAGUAAUGCCUAGGAAUCUGCCUGAUAGUGGGGGAUAACGGUUCGGAAACGGACGCUAAUACCGCAUACGUCCUACAGGAGAAAGUGGGGAUCUUCGGACCUCACGCUAUCA